GCUGGCGGCAUGCUUAACACAUGCAAGUCGAACGUGAAAGCACUUCGGUGUGAGUAGAGUGGCGGACGGGUGAGUAACGCGUGGGAAUCUACCCAGUAGUGGGGGACAACUACCGGAAACGGUAGCUAAUACCGCAUACGCCCUAUGGGGGAAAGGCUUCGGCCGCUAUUGGAUGAGCCCGCGUCAGAUUAGCUAGUUGGUAGGGUAAAGGCCUACCAAGGCAACGAUCUGUAGCUGGUCUGAGAGGACGAACAGCCACACUGGGACUGAGACACGGCCCAGACUCCUACGGGAGGCAGCAGUGGGGAAUAUUGGACAAUGGGCGAAAGCCUGAUCCAGCAAUGCCGCGUGUGUGAAGAAGGCCUGCGGGUUGUAAAGCACUUUCAGUUGGGAAGAUAAUGACGUUACCAACAGAAGAAGCACCGGCUAAAUCCGUGCCAGCAGCCGCGGUAAUACGGAUGGUGCGAGCGUUAAUCGGAAUUACUGGGCGUAAAGCGCGCGUAGGCGGCUAAGUCAGUCAGAAGUGAAAGCCCCGGGCUCAACCUGGGAAUUGCUUUUGAUACUGCUU
rnacentral:rRNA from 1 species